rnacentral:lncRNA from 1 species
AAACUGAGGCAAUCGUUGCUGAAGUCAGUGUUGUAAUGGUGAAUCAGGAUUUUUAAUGAAGUGGGUUUGAUUACUCUUGACUGUUUUGUGAAAUCGAGUUACGUUUGUGAUGAAGAAUUAAAAGAGUGUCUAUAGGAUUGAAUAUGCAGAGUGAAUGAAAUUUAUUGGAUUAAUCUAACGAGACAGUCAGUGAAUACAAGAUCGUGAGUAUAAAGCGGUAUCGAAGAUUAGCAGUUUGGAUUGCUCAAGGUUCUCUAUAACGUCUAGAGACCUAUCGGCUGGGACAAAAAGGACUUCGACAAGUAGUCGAAGGGCAUCCGUAUAGAUUUACGGUGUAUUCUUACAGUUGUUUAUAUUCCAACAGUCAAAAACCGAUAGACUGUUUGAAUAUUAGCGAAUCUCUAUACUACCUUCUACAUCCAGACGCCCGGUGCAUUCUCGAGCAGGAAAGCACGUAAUACAACAAAAGUGGUGAACCCGACGUGAAAGCUUGAGGUGGAAGGUAUUGGAUUUUGUUUGAUUUUAUUUUUAUUUUU